rnacentral:rRNA from 1 species
GACGAACGCUGGCGGCGUGCUUAACACAUGCAAGUCGAACGGAAAGGCCCUGCUUUUGUGGGGUGCUCGAGUGGCGAACGGGUGAGUAGCACGUGAGUAACCUGCCCUUGACUUUGGGAUAACUUCAGGAAACUGGGGCUAAUACCGGAUAUGAGCUCCUGCUGCAUGUUGGGGGUUGGAAAGUUUCGGCGGUUGGGGAUGGACUCGCGGCUUAUCAGCUUGUUGGUGGGGUAGUGGCUUACCAAGGCUUUGACGGGUAGCCGGCCUGAGAGGGUGACCGGCCACAUUGGGACUGAGAUACGGACCAGACUCCUACGGGAGGCAGCAGUGGGGAAUAUUGCACAAUGGGCGGAAGCGUGAUGCAGCAACGCCGCGUGCGGGAUGACGGCCUUCGGGUUGUAAACAGCUUUCGCCUGUGACGAAGCGUGAGUGACGGUAAUGGGUAAAGAAGCACCGGCUAACUACGUG